GGGAGAACUUGCGUUGGCUGAGGCUGGGGGAUCGAUACACAGCCUGCAGGCCCCGGGGCAGCCUCCAUCCCCCAAGCCGAGGGGGAGUUCGCUGGAAGGUCAUGCAGCCUUCCUGGACUCCCGCACCGGUACAGCGCACUGCAUGUAAUAUUACAGCCUGGGGCGGCGAAUUUGGGAAGGAGGGAGAGGGUCGUUGUGAGCAGGUUGCACUCAGCUCUGGCCCUCCGGAGGGUGCACUUCACGCCUCCAGAGAAGGUCCACAGCCUCCUGGUGCUGAAAACCUACGUCCCUCCACUGGCGAAACAUUUGUGCAGAGCGGACGAUGGGAUGGGGGCUGGAGAGGAGCAAUGAAAGGGAGGAGACACAGGCAAGCCUCAACUCCCCCAACUCGUCCCGAAUCGAUCUUCGUUCCAACCGCGCAGGAUGGGGCCCAGAUGGUUUGCAAAGCGCACACUCGCACAACGCAAUACACAGAACAAGAUUCCGUUGUUACAGCGCGUGGUUUACUAGAUGCUAAAAGGGUGGGAGUAGCAGGAGGGUCUUAAACGGCAGCCCCAAGGCUCUGCUAAGGACAGAGACACCCCAUUGUGGACGGUUUCUCCAUUGCAAUAUAUUUAGCGUUGGGCGCUGGGGUUUUUGCUUCAGUGUAGCUGCUCUGAUCAGUUACAGAUUGGCGACCACGUGGAUUCCCUCAAGCAUCCUGAUUUGUUCGUUCUCUCUCUCUCUCUCUCUCUUUCUCUCUCUCUCUCGUCUCUCUUAUUUUUCUUUUGUAUUUGCCGCCCCCCCUUCUUUAAUAUGCAUAACGGUCUGCAGAGGUAAUAGGCAGGGGACUGAAUGACAGGCUUUAUAUAACUGUGUCAACAGAUUUCUUCCCGCCUUCUACCCUUGAGAAAACAUGAACCGGGUGGGUUCUGAGUAACCUCACUUCAAGCAUUCUUCAUUUAACACAGGUGGGAGGUCUGCAGGUUGCAAGGCAGCAGAAAGAAGGAAGAAUGUCUUCGAAUAUUGUGUGGAGUCCCCAGACUCAAGCCUCUGAGCAGAAAAACUCCUUGAGAAAUCAUAUAGUUUGUCUCUUUGCCUCUAGACUAGUCCAAAAGGAGCCAGAGCAAGUCAGAAUUUGGUUUAUUGUUGGAGAUUUUAGGGCGAAAAUAUUAAUAAUAACAUUUUUCAGUGCUUUCUGUGAGCCUAAGUGCUUUAUGUGCACUCAAUUCUCUCCAAUUCUAUAAGUUUGAUUUUACAUAUGGGGAAACUGAGGCUUAGAAUAAUGUCUAAAGUCACACAGCUAGUAAGUAGAAGUGCUAAAACUCACUGGGGUCUGACAGCAAAUAUCCGUUAACCAUCCUGCUGAUCAUAAAAAGACAUUACGACUCCUGUAAUCCCAGCACUUUGGGAGGCCGAGGCAGGCGGAUCAUGAGGUCAGGAGAUCGAGACCAUUCUGGCUAACACUGAAACCCCGUCUCUACUAAAAAUACAAAAAAUUAGCUGGGCGAGGUGGCGGGCGCCUGUAUUCCCAGCUUCUCGGGAGGCUGAGGCAGGAGAAUGGCGUGAACCCCGGGGGGUGGAGCCUGCAGUGAGCCGAGAUCGCGCCACUGCACUCCAGCCUGGGCGACAGCAAGACUCCGUCUCAAAAAAAAAAAAAAAAAAAAAAAGACAUUCUGUGCCUUACACAUUAGGUACCUUAAAUUCGAUGUGCUUUACUUAUUUUUUAUUUUAAAUUUUCAUUCAACAUAUUUUUCUUGAAUACCUAAUACAUUCAUAUGGUUAAAAAUUUAAGGCCGGGCACGGUGGCUCACGCCUGUAAUCCCAGUACUUUGGGAGGCUGAGCUGGGCAGAUCACCUGAGGUCAGGAGUUCAAGAACAGCCUAGCCAACAUGGUGAAACCCCCGUCUCGACUAAAAAUACAAAAAUUAGCGGGUGUGGUGGCGGGUGCCUGUAAUCAGCUACUCGGGAGGCUGAGGCAGGGGAAUCACUUGAACCCGGGGGGCGGAGGUUGCAGUGAGCCGAAAUCGCACCACUGCACUCCAGCCUGGGCGACAGAGUGAGACUCCAUCUCUAAAAAAAAAAAAUUAAAAAAAAAAAUUUAAAA
rnacentral:lncRNA from 1 species